UACGGAGGGGGCUAGCGUUGUUCGGAAUUACUGGGCGUAAAGCGUACGUAGGCGGCUUUGUAAGUUAGAGGUGAAAGCCCAGAGCUCAACUCUGGAAUUGCCUUUAAGACUGCAUCGCUUGAAUCGUGGAGAGGUUAGUGGAAUUCCGAGUGUAGAGGUGAAAUUCGUAGAUAUUCGGAAGAACACCAGUGGCGAAGGCGACUCACUGGACAUGUAUUGACGCUGAUGUGCGAAAGCGUGGGGAGCAAACAGG
rnacentral:rRNA from 1 species